CAGUCGCCGCGGUAAUACGUAGGUGGCAAGCGUUGUCCGGAAUUAUUGGGCGUAAAGGGCUCGCAGGCGGUUUCUUAAGUCUGAUGUGAAAGCCCCCGGCUCAACCGGGGAGGGUCAUUGGAAACUGGGAAACUUGAGUGCAGAAGAGGAGAGUGGAAUUCCACGUGUAGCGGUGAAAUGCGUAGAGAUGUGGAGGAACACCAGUGGCGAAGGCGACUCUCUGGUCUGUAACUGACGCUGAGGAGCGAAAGCGUGGGGAGCGAGCAGGAUUAGAUACCCCCGUAGUCCCUGUCUCUUAUAC
rnacentral:rRNA from 1 species